CCUACGGGUGGCAGCAGUGGGGAAUAUUGGACAAUGGGGGGAACCCUGAUCCAGCCAUGCCGCGUGUGUGAAGAAGGCCCUCGGGUUGUAAAGCACUUUCAGUGAGGAAGAACGCCUGGUGGUUAAUACCCAUCAGGAAAGACAUCACUCACAGAAGAAGCACCGGCUAACUCCGUGCCAGCAGCCGCGGUAAUACGGAGGGUGCGAGCGUUAAUCGGAAUUACUGGGCGUAAAGCGCGCGUAGGUGGCUUGAUAAGCCGGUUGUGAAAGCCCCGGGCUCAACCUGGGAACGGCAUCCGGAACUGUCAAGCUAGAGUGCAGGAGAGGAAGGUAGAAUUCCAGGUGUAGCGGUGAAAUGCGUAGAGAUCGGGAGGAAUACCAGUGGCGAAGGCGGCCUUCUGGACUGACACUGACACUGAGGUGCGAAAGCGUGGGUAGCAAACAGGAUUAGAUACCCGUGUAGUC
rnacentral:rRNA from 1 species